ensembl:misc_RNA Metazoa_SRP Metazoan signal recognition particle RNA
GCUGGGUGCAGUGGCGCAUGCCUGUAGUCCCAGCUAGUUGGGAGGCUGAGGUGGGAGGAUUGCUUGAGUCCAGGAGUUCUGGGCUGUAGCGCACUAUGCCGUUUGGGUGUCUGCACUAAGUUCCUCAUCAAUAUGGUGACCUCCAGGGAGUAGAGGACCACCAGGUUGCCUAAGGAGGGGUGAACUGGCCCAGGUUGGAAACGGAGAAGGUCAAAACUCCCAUGCUGAUCAGUAGUGGGAUCGUGCCUGUGAAUAGCCACUGCACUCCAGCCUGAGUAACACAGCGAGGCCCCGUCUCUA